rnacentral:rRNA from 1 species
GACAUAAGUAACGAUAAAGCGGGUGAAAAGCCCGCUCGCCGGAAGACCAAGGGUUCCUGUCCAACGUUAAUCGGGGCAGGGUGAGUCGACCCCUAAGGCGAGGCCGAAAGGCGUAGUCGAUGGGAAACAGGUUAAUAUUCCUGUACUUGGUGUUACUGCGAAGGGGGGACGGAGAAGGCUAUGUUGGCCGGGCGACGGUUGUCCCGGUUUAAGCGUGUAGGCUGGUUUUCCAGGCAAAUCCGGAAAAUCAAGGCUGAGGCGUGAUGACGAGGCACUACGGUGCUGAAGCAACAAAUGCCCUGCUUCCAGGAAAAGCCUCUAAGCAUCAGGUAACAUCAAAUCGUACCCCAAACCGACACAGGUGGUCAGGUAGAGAAUACCAAGGCGCUUGAGAGAACUCGGGUGAAGGAACUAGGCAAAAUGGUGCCGUAACUUCGGGAGAAGGCACGCUGAUAUGUAGGUGAAGUCCCUCGCGGAUGGAGCUGAAAUCAGUCGAAGAUACCAGCUGGCUGCAACUGUUUAUUAAAAACACAGCACUGUGCAAACACGAAAGUGGACGUAUACGGUGUGACGCCUGCCCGGUGCCGGAAGGUUAAUUGAUGGGGUCAGCGCAAGCGAAGCUCUUGAUCGAAGCCCCGGUAAACGGCGGCCGUAACUAUAACGGUCCUAAGGUAGCGAAAUUCCUUGUCGGGUAAGUUCCGACCUGCACGAAUGGCGUAAUGAUGGCCAGGCUGUCUCCACCCGAGACUCAGUGAAAUUGAACUCGCUGUGAAGAUGCAGUGUACCCGCGGCAAGACGGAAAGACCCCGUGAACCUUUACUAUAGCUUGACACUGAACAUUGAGCCUUGAUGUGUAGGAUAGGUGGGAGGCUUGGAAGUGUGGACGCCAGUCUGCAUGGAGCCGACCUUGAAAUACCACCCUUUAAUGUUUGAUGUUCUAACGUGGACCCGUAAUCCGGGUUGCGGACAGUGUCUGGUGGGUAGUUUGACUGGGGCGGUCUCCUCCUAAAGAGUAACGGAGGAGCACGAAGGUUGGCUAAUCCUGGUCGGACAUCAGGAGGUUAGUGCAAUGGCAUAAGCCAGCUUGACUGCGAGCGUGACGGCGCGAGCAGGUGCGAAAGCAGGUCAUAGUGAUCCGGUGGUUCUGAAUGGAAGGGCCAUCGCUCAACGGAUAAAAGGUACUCCGGGGAUAACAGGCUGAUACCGCCCAAGAGUUCAUAUCGACGGCGGUGUUUGGCACCUCGAUGUCGGCUCAUCACAUCCUGGGGCUGAAGUAGGUCCCAAGGGUAUGGCUGUUCGCCAUUUAAAGUGGUACGCGAGCUGGGUUUAGAACGUCGUGAGACAGUUCGGUCCCUAUCUGCCGUGGGCGCUGGAGAACUGAGGGGGGCUGCUCCUAGUACGAGAGGACCGGAGUGGACGCAUCACUGGUGUUCGGGUUGUCAUGCCAAUGGCACUGCCCGGUAGCUAAAUGCGGAAGAGAUAAGUGCUGAAAGCAUCUAAGCACGAAACUUGCCCCGAGAUGAGUUCUCCCUGAC